ACAGAGGGUGCGAGCGUUGUCCGGAAUCACUGGGCGUAAAGGGCGCGUAGGCGGACAGUUAAGUUGGGGGUGAAAGCCCGGGGCUCAACCUCGGAAUUGCCUUCAAUACUGGCUGUCUUGAGUAUGAGAGAGGUGUGUGGAACUCCGAGUGUAGAGGUGAAAUUCGUAGAUAUUCGGAAGAACACCAGUGGCGAAGGCGACACACUGGCUCAUUACUGACGCUGAGGCGCGAAAGCGUGGGGAGCAAACAGGA
rnacentral:rRNA from 1 species